UUAUCUACUGCAGAAGUACAGUGUGUCAGACUUGCUUUACUCACUGAAUGAAAUGGUAGAGUACAUUGUCAGCGUUUGUAUUGUUGCAACUGUAUUUCUAGAGAAGCAUUUCUUGAGCUCUGUAGAGCUUCCCAGGAUCAUGGUAUGGUGUGCCAUCCCAAUAGAGUGGCUGUGACUGUCUUUCAAAAGAACUCUGCUUUCCAUCUUUUUAAGAAGAGUUCACUGAGAACUGUCUCUGGUUUCUUGGUAGGUAACCUGAGCUACUGCUUCACUGCACAACCCUUUGGAUUGAAUUGUGAGAUGAGAUCCCACCAACUUCGCUAGCCUAGCAAAAACGCACUAGAAUGAGACAAAUGAAUUCCGAGGAAAAAAACUGAACUCACCGAUCAGUAUUGCUGGGGAAGACGGCUAUGGAAACGGAUGGGCUGACAGGUUUUUUUCUUAUUCUGUUUUUAACAGUAGUCUGAUACAGUAAGAUCAUCAGACAUAGGAGCAUGUGCCUGAAUUCAUGGUCUGACUCACUGAACCCUUUUCCUCAGUUAUCUACAGUGAGCUGGAGGUCAAGUCUGAGGUUUCACUUAGAAAAGCUGCAGGAAGAACUUGCUCGGUUCCCACACAGGACAAUCAUCUACCUUGUAAAGGAAGCCUAAUUGCUGUAUCCUCAGGAACUAACCGGUUUCCAACCCAUCUGAUCUCUGGAUGGGAGUUUGCAAUGGCAGUAGUCCAACUCGGAAUAUUCUACUUAUUCUUCUAAGAAAAAAGAAAAAAAAAAACCCUGGGAAAACUCCCUUUUAUGCAGCUGAAAUCGUUAACACCACAGUGCAUUCUGUACUGGAGAAGUGUCAUUUUAAUUUACUCCACACAGGAUUCACACCACUAAGAUGGCCCACCCGCAGAAGCAGACAAGAAUUUCAGGAAAUAUAGAUAUUCUCAAAUGCUGAGUUAGAAAAGAGCAUAAAAUGAAUUCCUUAGGGAUGCCUUUCUGAGAGCAUGAGAGCCCUCCUGGCCCCAGAAGUAGAAACCGAGCUCAGAAGGGGGAAAAUCGGCACAUGAUGGAGUGAU
ensembl:lncRNA